UUGACCUCGGAUCAGGUAGGAAUACCCGCUGAUCUUAAGCAUAUCAAUAAGCGGAGGA
rnacentral:rRNA from 1 species